AAAAUAAGAGCAUGUCAAAUUAGCCAAGGUGACCGGCCUGAAAACUCAAGCGCGGGGGUCUCCAUUUCUUGAGCCUUCAUUAUAUGAAAGCUGAAAGAACAUACUAAACCCCUUUGCAUGAGAGCAGGCAAGUCAUCCUUGGCUACCAAACAAACACUCUCGUCU
rfam:Daucus carota subsp. sativus cultivar DH1 chromosome 6, whole genome shotgun sequence.